CCGAGAUGAGUAUCUGGGAUUAACGAUCGUGCAAAAAGGAAUCAGACCUCCCCACUGCAGUCCAAGCAACAGGUGCUGCAGCUUUCUGUGUUCUUACUUCCUUGCUCUUUUUGUGUUCCUCUUUGGAUAUUUUGGGGCCCAAAAAGAAAUCAGCAUCUCGCACAAAUGACUUGCUUACAGACGGCAGCCGGACCCUUGCCGCCCAAGACUUCUGGCAGCAUUUCCAUACAGACGGAACAGAAGCGAACCCUGCGGUACAUCUACAGGAAUCUCACCGAGAGCAGAGAUUCGUGGUUCUUUCCAGCGCUCUUUGUCGUGUGUCUCUGCUGCUUCAUGGCCAUGAUCAUCAACGGAAUACAACUCUACGUGCUCCCCCUCACGUGAAACCGUCCAGCCGUAAAGUGAGGGACUUGUAAAUAUUUUAUCAGAUUCGACGAAAGACAUCUAAUGGUUUGCACGCUAUAUUUCGAUAACUGUGUUAUCAUUUUAUUUUAAAAUAAAAUAUGUGUUAUUUA